GUAGGGGGCCAGCGUUGCUCGGAAUUACUGGGCGUAAAGGGUUCGUAGGUGGUGCGGCAAGUUGGGAGUGAAAUCUCUGGGCUUAACCCAGAGGCUGCUUUCAAAACUGCCGCGCUCGAGUGCGAGAGAGGUCAGUGGAAUUGCAGGUGUAGCGGUGAAAUGCGUAGAUAUCUGCAGGAACACCCGUGGCGAAGGCGGCUGACUGGAUCGCAACUGACGCUGAGGAACGAAAGCUAGGGGAGCAAACAGGAUUAGAUACCCUGGUAGUCCUAGCCCUAAACCAUCGGAACUUGGGGUGGCCCGCGUAGGCGGGUCGUCCCGUAGCUAACGCGUUAAGUUCCGCGCCUGGGGAGUACGGUCGCAAGACUGAAACUCAAAGGAAUUGACGGGGGCCCGCACAAGCGGUGGAACAUGUGGUUCAAUUCGACGCAACGCGAAGAACCUUACCUGGGCUUGAACUGCUACUGACCAACGAUAGAAAUAUUGUCUUCCCGCAAGGGACAGUAGUAGAGGUGCUGCAUGGCUGUCGUCAGCUCGUGCCGUGAGGUGUUGGGUUAAGUCCCGCAACGAGCGCAACCCUUAUUCGUAGUUGCCACCCGCAAGGGGGAACUCUACGAGGACUGCUCCGGAUAACGGAGAGGAAGGUGGGGAUGACGUCAAGUCAGCACGGCCUUUAUGUCCAGGGCUACACACGUGUUACAAUGCACGGUACAGACUGUUGCGAACCCGCGAGGGGGAGCUGAUCGGAUAAAACCGUGCUCAGUUCGGAUUGCAGUCUGCAACUCGACUGCAUGAAGCUGGAAUCGCUAGUAAUGGCGCAUCAGAUCGGCGCCGUGAAUACGUUCCCG
rnacentral:rRNA from 1 species